CAGGAAUGGAAGAGAGGUGUGAUGAAUUCAAAGAAACAAGAGGAAACCCAUGUCGACACCAGGAAAACAUGCACAGAAACUCUGCACAGACAGCAACCCGAGUUCAGGAUCGAACCCAGAAACCUGGAAUUGUGAGGCAGCAAUGCGACCACUUUUUUUUUUCCAAAUGUUAUUGUUGUUGUUUUUUUAAAUAAAAAAAAAAAAAAACAUUUCAUGGAAAUCUUUCAGAUGGUGGUACUCAUGGUUGGCCACCUGAUCUUGUUGAUGGGAGAAGAUGGAAAAUUCUCGCCUGGCAGUCUAAGAACAUCAGAAGAGUUGUCAGAAGUACUUUGGUAGGUGAAAUCUUG
ensembl:lncRNA